AAUAAUUUAUUUAACUUAUUUUAAGAAUUGAAUGCGAUGGAGAAUCACCACUUGUUGCACCCAUACAUUCAUCAUCAUCCAUAUUUCAUCUUCUUCUUCUUUCAUUCUCUCUCUAUAAUUUCUUCUUCUUCUUCUUCUUCUUCUUCUUCUAUCUAUCUAUGAUGAUGAUGAUGAUGAUGAUGAUGAAAGUGAGAAACUUUAACUUCAAUCCAAAGCUAAAACAGUGA
rnacentral:lncRNA from 1 species